AUAUUCACUAUUGUUUAUACAAAUAUAAAAUACUAUUUUUCAAAGUUUUUGCUCUAAUUGGAAGACACAAAGUGAAAGUAAAUCUGAACUACUAUUUCAUGUUUACUUUUAUCAUCGAGACUUUCAUCUGACAAAUUAUGUACAUUGGACCACAAUCAUUACGUCAAGAAUUUUAAAGCAAAACUAGUUUAUUAUAGAACUGCUUUGUGUUCAAUGUACUAUUUUAUCCACUUAAAAUAGUCAUUACAAUUUGAUUGAAAAUAAAAUUGGAGGAACUGCAUUGCACACGAAGACAGCUUUGGUGACGUUUAAUGAUGUUCAUCACAAUUCAAUACUAAUUUCUGUAUUUUACAGGUGCAGGCAUAUUUGAUCGGACACUGUGAUUAUUACACAACGGUCAACUGGAAUGAUACAAUCAAAAUAUUUGGAAAGCAUUCAAAGUAUGAAUAACUUAGAGAUUUAUCAAACAAUGACAUUUUUAAGACCAUACAAACUUAUUCAAGACUUAUAAAUAAAUGCUCUUUGAAGGGGACUAAGAAGAAAGUUCAAAUUGAAAAUUCAAACUCUACACAGACCCCAUCACGAUGGAUUGUUCGAUCCUGGUUCAGCUGCCAAUUCAAAAAUGCAAGAAUAUUCAUUCCGACUACUUUACUAGGAAUCUCUCUAGAAACAUUUAAUCAGGUUCUUUCAACUUCUGCUGCUCUGCACACAGACUCCUUCACCAGGAACAUUUAAUCAGGUCCUUUCAACUUCUGCUGCUCUGCACACAGACUCCUUCACCAGGAACAUUUAAUCAGGUCCUUUCAACUUCUGCUGCUCUGCACACAGAC